rnacentral:rRNA from 1 species
AGUGAACGCUGGCGGCAGGCCUAACACAUGCAAGUCGAACGGCAGCACAGUAAGAGCUUGCUCUUACGGGUGGCGAGUGGCGGGCGGGUGAGGAAUACAUCGGAAUCUACUUUUUCGGGGGGGAUAACGUAGGGAAACUUAUGCUAAUACCGCAUACGACCUACGGGUGAAAGCAGGGGAUCUUCGGACCUUGCGCGAUUGAAUGAGCCGAUGUCGGAUUAGCUAGUUGGCGGGGUAAAGGCCCACCAAGGCGAGGAUCCGUAGCUGGUCUGAGAGGAUGAUCAGCCACACUGGAACUGAGACACGGUCCAGACUCCUACGGGAGGCAGCAGUGGGGAAUAUUGGACAAUGGGCGCAAGCCUGAUCCAGCCAUACCGCGUGGGUGAAGAAGGCCUUCGGGUUGUAAAGCCCUUUUGUUGGGAAAGAAAAGCAGCAGGUUAAUACCCCGCUGUUCUGACGGUACCCAAAGAAUAAGCACCGGCUAACUUCGUG